CAAGCUCUUGUCUGUGAAGUCAAAAGCAUCCACUAGUGGAACAGCAUCCUUCCUAAGGAGUAGAGGAAAGGCAUUCGUAUUAGUUAAGUCACUUAAGUAGGACCUUACACACAGUAGCAGCUCACUUCUCUGCACCAGAUGUUAAUCUGCUCUUAACAACACUGAGCAGUGAAAAGAUCAGCCCUUUGUGGAAAAGCCUAUGUGAGCAUUGUGGGACAAACUGAAUGGCUGUGUAACUCCUCUUGAGCUAGAGUGGCUCACCGAAUGACACCCAGGAGGUCCAGGUAUGACGCUGUGAUCA